UACGUAGGGUGCGAGCGUUAAUCGGAAUUACUGGGCGUAAAGCGUGCGCAGGCGGUUAUGUAAGACAGAUGUGAAAUGCCCGGGCUUAACCUGGGAACUGCAUUUGUGACUGCAUGGCUAGAGUUUGGCAGAGGGGGGGUAGAAUUCCACGUGUAGCAGUGAAAUGCGUAGAUAUGUGGAGGAACACCGAUGGCGAAGGCAGCCCCCCUGGGUCAAGACUGACGCUCAUGCACGAAAGCGUGGGGAGCAGACAGG
rnacentral:rRNA from 1 species